GCACCUCACACCUCCAGGAAAGGGAUUUUUGGGCAGUCCCAUCAGCGCUCAGGUAAAGCUGCAGCUGCAUUUGGCACAUCCACGCUGCAAAGGUGCCGCCCUCCAUCCCCUGGGAAACCACCCUGCAUCCCCUGGGAAACACUUCCUUGUUUGUCCUCCAUCACGGUGAGGUGGUACCUGUGUGUCUUCCGGGGUAUCCCUGGGGGAGGGGACAUGUCCCACAGGCAGCACUGUGGCCCCUCAGACCCCACACUCCAGCCUGGGAAGGCUCUGGCUUUGCUGUUGUUGUUUUGAAGGCCAAGUCUCUCCCGCUGACACCCUGGAAUUAGUUUUUCUUCCAGAGUCCUUAAAAAUAUCCUGGAUUCCUGACACCGGGACUUGUCUUCCAACGAUGCUUCCAAGCCACGGGGCCUGGGGCCAGCUGUGAACGCCGAGGGACAGAGGCCGUCCAGCUCUCGUGCUCCUCUGAGAUCACAGCGGUGCUGGGAAGGAGUAUGGUGCUGAGGAAGAUCACAGCCCCUGCCAUGGCUGAGUUGUUACUUGCCACUUCCACGGUGGAAUGGUGCUCAGCAGGGCACAGGCAGGGCACAAACACUGCCUUGCCUCAGCAAUGCUCCCAGUGGCUUCGGCGUGUGUUCCUGUGCACAGCCAGGAGCGUGGGAAGGGUCUUUCAGGGACCUCCAGCAGCCGUGACCCUACAGAACCCCACAGCUGAGGACUGGGCUGUGGCGAGGGUCCCAAGCCCGCGGCCCGGCCCAGCGUGGGUUUCCAUGGAAAACUUCCAUCCAAAACAAGGAGAGAAGGAGCUACAGCAGGAGUGACUCAGCCACAACUGGAAGCUUCUGCGGGUGAAGCAGGGAAGGGGGGGCUGUUCCCAGCGGCUUGGUCCUGCUCCGGCAGCAGGGCCUGGGGCUGGCCCCCGGCUCUCCCCUGCCCGUGCUGCUGCCUCCUCGCAGGCAGGAGCCAGGCAGCUUUGGGGGAAACCGCGUGAUAUGACACGGUCUGCAAAACACAUCACCCUCCCAAAGCGCCCCCUCCCCACGCCAGUGCCAGGCCCUGCUGGUGGAGAUGGGAGGAAGAGCGUGAGAUGAGUAAGGCUCAAACCCUGCCAUGAUCUGCACCCGGUGCCAGGCUUGGUGGGAUGUCUCUUUCUCCAACGCUGCCCACAGGAGCCCCUGCCUGUGCCUGGUGUGCCCCAUGUGGGUGAUGGCAGGGUGGGCAGCGGAGGAGACCCCGAGCUGACGGUGACACAGGGAGAAGGGGUGCGGAGAGCCAGGGAAGAGGUGGUGGGAGUUUGUGGGGAGGCAGCAGUGCUGGCAGUCUCUGCUUGUGCUGGUCUUCUCCCACCCUCCCUGGGAUGCUGGGAGAGGGCUGGGGGCUCUGCUCACCCGGGAGGGGGGAGCAAAGCCCUUCCCUGCCCAGCCCCAGCCCCCAUGGCCACGGCAGGCUCCUCACAAGCAGGGCCAUAGGCAGGGCCUAUCCCUGGGGUCACCCAGGUGAC
rnacentral:lncRNA from 1 species